CUUCCGUAGGGUGAACCUGCGGAAGGAUCAUUAUUGAAAAUAAAUCUGAUGGGGUUGUUGCUGGCUCUCCGGGGAGCAUGUGCACGCCUUGUCAUCUUUAUAUAUCUCCACCUGUGCACCUUUUGUAGACAUCCUUUCCAGGUUGUCUAUGUUUGAUUCUUCAUGUGCCCCAAAUAAAUGUAUGUCAAUAGAAUGUUGUGAUAAAUAAAAUCUAUACAACUUUCAGCAACGGAUCUCUUGGCUCUCGCAUCGAUGAAGAACGCAGCGAAAUGCGAUAAGUAAUGUGAAUUGCAGAAUUCAGUGAAUCAUCGAAUCUUUGAACGCACCUUGCGCUCCUUGGUAUUCCGAGGAGCAUGCCUGUUUGAGUGUCAUUAAUAUUAUAUAUCAAACCUGUGUGUUUGGAUGUGGGGGUUGCUGGCCUCUUUUUGAAGAGGUCAGCUCUCCUGAAAUGCAUUAGCAGAACAACCUGUUUUGUUCAUUGGUGUGAUAAAUAUCUACGCUAUAGAACCGUGAAGGCAGUUCAGCUUCCUAACCGUCCUUUGGGACAAUUCAUUAUCUAUGUGACCUCAAAUCAGUAGACGCCGGGUCC
rnacentral:rRNA from 1 species